AGCUGGUCCGAGUGCAGGGGGGUUUACAGCUCACUGGUCACAACCAGUUACAGAUUUCUUUGUUCCUUCACCACUCCCACUGCUUCACUUGACUAGCCUAAA
rnacentral:Y_RNA from 1 species